rnacentral:rRNA from 1 species
UACAGAGGUCUCAAGCGUUGUUCGGAUUCAUUGGGCGUAAAGGGUGCGUAGGUGGCGCCGUAAGUCGGGUGUGAAAUUUCGGAGCUUAACUCCGAAACUGCAUUCGAUACUGCGGUGCUUGAGGACUGGAGAGGAGACUGGGAAUUCAUGGUGUAGCAGUGAAAUGCGUAGAGAUCAUGAGGAAGACCAGUGGCGAAGGCGGGUCUCUGGACAGUUCCUGACACUGAGACACGAAGGCCAGGGGAGCAAACGGG